rnacentral:rRNA from 1 species
UUUAUGGAGAGUUUGAUCCUGGCUCAGGAUGAACGCUGGCGGCGUGCCUAAUACAUGCAAGUCGAGCGAACAGAUAAGGAGCUUGCUCCUUUGACGUUAGCGGCGGACGGGUGAGUAACACGUGGGUAACCUACCUAUAAGACUGGAAUAACUCCGGGAAACCGGGGCUAAUGCCGGAUAACAUGUUGAACCGCAUGGUUCUACAGUGAAAGACGGUUUUGCUGUCACUUAUAGAUGGACCCGCGCCGUAUUAGCUAGUUGGUGGGGUAACGGCCUACCAAGGCGACGAUACGUAGCCGACCUGAGAGGGUGAUCGGCCACACUGGAACUGAGACACGGUCCAGACUCCUACGGGAGGCAGCAGUAGGGAAUCUUCCGCAAUGGGCGAAAGCCUGACGGAGCAACGCCGCGUGAGUGAUGAAGGUCUUCGGAUCGUAAAGCUCUGUUGUUAGGGAAGAACAAAUGUGUAAGUAACUGUG